GGUGGGCCGCCCCGCAUUGCAAGAUUGGAACCUGGUCAGGUCCGGAAGGAAGCAGCCAUAACAGUUAACUGCAAGUGCCGGGGGAACGGCUCGCCACC
rnacentral:SRP_RNA from 1 species